UGAAACUCUUUUCACACGGCUCUGGGUGGAAAUCAGCUAGUGAUGAUUCAGGAGCUCCUUCUCUGGCAAGAAACAGUUCCUCAUUGUUGAUUAAGGAGUGGCUCUCUAUUUUAAAAGUUAACCAGCAGAAUAGGAGGGUGGACAGUCUCUUGUGAAAACUGGACCAGAAAUCAACGGGACUUCUUGAGUGGAUGGCCACCCACUUUCCACGUCGAGGAUCCCUGGCUCUUAUAUGGUUCUCACCACCAGGCUGCCUGCCACGAAGCAGCACAUCAUGAUGCCCCUUGCCAGAGGAUGAAUGGAUGGAACCAGCAGAUCUUUCAUUAGCCUCUGACACUGAAUGCCGAAAACUUUUCUCUAUAAAGUAGCUAGCAUUGGAAUUACUCCAUCCCUACUGGAAUAUCUGUGACAUUCUUCAAAUCAAUUUAAAUUAUCACCAAAAGCUAAUCAAACAUUGACUUCGGGUGGCCACUGCUUUAUAGCCUGUGAAUAUGCUCAGUGAAGAUUGCUUCCAGAAAUGAAAGAGUUAACGGCGGGGAGAAGAAAUACGGAUAUUUUAGUAAUAUUUUUCUUGCCUCUAUGUUAAGCAUGUGAUCAAUGAGACAUUAGCUCACCUUUUCCUUCCUCUCCUCAUCUUUCCACUGAGGAAAAUCCGUGUUCUGCAGCCAGAAGAUAGUGAACACGUGGGAUGCUCACCUGUGGCUUCCAGGCUGAGAAACAGGAAGGGAAGGCUAAACGUGGCAUUUUUUUUUUCCUUGAACAGAAGACACCUGGAAAAGGGCAGAAGCACUGGCAAAUGUUCUACAAGUAGCUUAAGUCUUCCUGUAGCCUGUGUACCGGCUCCUAGUCUCCAUGUUCGUGCUAUGUUCUCCUUGACUCCCCUUUGGUUCAUGCUAGCAAACAAAGGCCCCCUUCCCCUUAAAGGAGCAACGGUUUAAUCUGAGAAAAGCCAUGGUAAACCACACCCUAGACAUUCAGAGUUCUCCCCUGCCUCUUAGCAGUCUAGCAGAGGUGACAAUGACUCAUGGCAGGCAUCUCCCGAGUGCUGGGCAGACCCCAGCCGAUCUAGCCAGAUGGCCCAUCCCAGCCAGCACUGAGUGUUGCAAUCACAUGAAAAGAAAGCAUGCUUUGUGUUAGCAGAUUUGAAAACGGAUCUUUGUUGUGGAGAUAAAUAUAGAAACGUUAUCAGGUUACUAAUCUGCCACUGAACUCCGGCCUCAAAGGAAAGUCAUAACCGUGCUUGUCAUAUCUGUCUUCAAAGGCUGUCACAAAUAUAGCUAAUGAAUUAGAAAGCACCUGCCUCCACCUUCGCCGCGUUCUCUUUAUCUGUUUUCCUUUGUCUUUUGAAAAUGAUACGUACUCAUUUCGCCACAGUUCACGAGGCUCCUGAAUGAACAGGAGCUUCCACAGGGAGCUUCCGCAUCUCCCUGCCCAACUGUGACCUUGUAUUUUCAGUGACCAAAAAGUCAUGUUCUGUAGUUGAUCGUCAUGGUUCUUGGUGGAAAAAAAAAUGAGCCUCUGUAUUCAAGUAGUUCAAAUGAUUACAAAGGUGUGAGUCUGUCUUUGUAACCUACACAAAAGCUUACCUUAGUUGCAUCAAUAAUGCACUUCAAAUUAUUUCUGAAAUCUAAAGAAUACAAAAAUAGUGGAUUUUCAAUGGUGUAUGAAUUAUUUAACACCAUUUAAAAUUAGUAUUCAAACAUUAUGGCUUUUAUUAAUUAUCAACUUAGAUUUCAGUUCUCUUCCUUUAUCUAAUUUUUCUUAUCUCCAUCUCUUCUCCAGAGUG